AUUGAACGCUGGCGGCAGGCCUAACACAUGCAAGUCGAGCGAGCGGCGGACGGGUGAGUAAUGUCUGGGAAACUGCCUGACGGAGGGGGAAAACUACUGGAAACGGUAGCUAAUACCGCAUACCAUCAGAUGUGCCCAGAUGGGAUUAGCUAGUCGGUGGGGUAACGGCUCACCUAGGCGACGAUCCCUAGCUGGUCUGAGAGGAUGACCAGCCAAACGGGAACUGGGACAGGGUCCGAACACCUACGGGAGGAAGCAGUGGGAAAUAUUGCACAAUGGGGGCAAGCCGAAUGCAGACAUGCCGCGUGUGUGAAGAAGGCCUUCGGGUUGUAAAGCACUUUCAGCGGGGAGGCGUUACCCGCAGAGGAAGCACCGGCUAACUCCGUGCCAGCAGCCGCGGUAAUAC
rnacentral:rRNA from 1 species